UAAUUUGGCCGGUAGCUGUAAGUUUAUCGAUUAGCGGGUUUUUAUCCGGGAGUUGGUGAAUGACACCAGCACUUCCGAAUACUCGGCCCGUCAGUGCGGUAUGGUACUUAU